CGGCGAACUCCGUGCCAGCAGCCGCGGUAAGACGGGGGGGGCAAGUGUUCUUCGGAAUGACUGGGCGUAAAGGGCACGUAGGCGGUGAAUCGGGUUGAAAGUGAAAGUCGCCAAAAACUGGUGGAAUGCUCUCGAAACCAAUUCACUUGAGUGAGACAGAGGAGAGUGGAAUUUCGUGUGUAGGGGUGAAAUCCGGAGAUCUACGAAGGAACGCCAAAAGCGAAGGCAGCUCUCUGGGUCCCUACCGACGCUGGAGUGCGAAAGCAUGGGGAGCGAACGGGAUUAGAUACCCUUGUAGUC
rnacentral:rRNA from 1 species